CCAGCCUCCUCUCCUCCGGGUCUGCUUGAACCAAGUGUCCGAUCUCCCCUACCCGCUCAGCCUUAGUGCGCACCGACUUCAACUUCCCACCCAUCACCAGGGGGAGAUUGAUUCUGGAAAAACAGGAUGUUGCCACCACAGCAUGAUGAUCCUUUCCCGCUGCUGAUCAGUCUGUGUUUUGUGAAAUUCGCAAGAGGAAUGAACACUCUGGCUACUGUGUUACAAGUGGGUGGGGGGUUGCAGGGAGAAGGGAGAAAAGGAUCAGGGAGACAAUUUAAGAUGCUCUAGUGAUAUUACAUUUGAAAGAGAUGUCUAAUCAAUAAAUAUCGAAUGAG